rnacentral:rRNA from 1 species
AGUGAACGCUGGCGAUAGGCCUAACACAUGCAAGUCGAACGGCAGCACAGUAAGAGCUUGCUCUUACGGGUGGCGAGUGGCGGACGGGUGAGGAAUACAUCGGAAUCUACUUUUUCGGGGGGGAUAACGUAGGGAAACUUACGCUAAUACCGCAUACGACCUACGGGUGAAAGCAGGGGAUCUUCGGACCUUGCGCGAUUGAAUGAGCCGAUGUCGGAUUAGCUAGUUGGCGGGGUAAAGGCCCACCAAGGCGACGAUCCGUAGCUGGUCUGAGAGGAUGAUCAGCCACACUGGAACUGAGACACGGUCCAGACUCCUACGGGAGGCAGCAGUGGGGAAUAUUGGACAAUGGGCGCAAGCCUGAUCCAGCCAUACCGCGUGGGUGAAGAAGGCCUUCGGGUUGUAAAGCCCUUUUGUUGGGAAAGAAAAGCAGCAGGUUAAUACCCCGCUGUUCUGACGGUACCCAAAGAAUAAGCACCGGCUAACUUCGUG